rnacentral:pre_miRNA from 1 species
GGUAGAAUUGCUGGGUCAUAUAGUAAUUCUACAUUUAACUUUUUGAGGAACUGCCAAACUGUUUUCUAUAGUGGAUUCACCAUUUUAUAUCCCCACCAGCAAU